CAUUAAUACAUGGAUGAAGGGACUUUCCUGGUGGGCCAGUGGUUAAGAAUCUGCCUUCCAACGCAGGGAGCAAAGGUUCGAUCACUGAUGAUCAUUGUCCAGGAACUGAGAUCCCACAUGUCGUCAGGGAACUCAGCCUUCACACUGCAACUAAAGAGGAGCCCUUGUGCUUCAGCGAAGACCCAGCACAGCCAAAAAAAAAGAAAAGGAAGCCCCGGUCCACCCAACACUGCUUGCCUACUCAGCACAAGUCACCUGAUCAGCAUCCAAGACUUCACUUUUCUCUGUGUAAGGAAACAACCCUGCUUUACCCAAUCAGCAAGUGCCCAGUUUCGUUUUGUUUUCUAACUUUUUUAACCAUAUAGCACAGGAAUUUUUAUUCAAUAUGUUGUAAUUA
ensembl:lncRNA